GCAUGAGCCGAGCCAAGAGACUCGACCAAAACGGGAACGRACGUCGUCCGCAUGAAGCGUAGAACGCUUUUGUUUUCGGGGCAAAUAGAGGUCGAGGACCUCGUACCGCAUCGGUCUUCCGCAUCCGAGAGAUCGAGCAUAACGACRUGGGCCAACRACCGACGAGCGCCCAAGAGCGCACGGAUCRUGGAACACGRCGAAUGCUUCGGCGUCCACCCCACACCGCAGCCACAAGGGGCGCAGCACAAGGAGGAAAGGGACAUUCGGACUACARCAUGCCUUCUCGAUAGGUAUACAACACAGGAAACCRUCGUCGGUCAAGGCAAUCCGCAACUUGAGCCAACAAUUGAAGAGGCGUGCACGAGAUGCCGUCGCUGCCCGAGCAG
rnacentral:misc_RNA from 1 species